rnacentral:rRNA from 1 species
GCUCAGGACGAACGCUGGCGGCGUGCUUAACACAUGCAAGUCGAGCGGUAAGGCCUUUCGGGGUACACGAGCGGCGAACGGGUGAGUAACACGUGGGUGAUCUGCCCUGCACUCUGGGAUAAGCCUGGGAAACUGGGUCUAAUACCGGAUAUGACCACGGGAUGCAUGUUUUGUGGUGGAAAGCUUUAUGUGGUGCAGGAUGGGCCCGCGGCCUAUCAGCUUGUUGGUGGGGUAAUGGCCUACCAAGGCGACGACGGGUAGCCGACCUGAGAGGGUGACCGGCCACACUGGGACUGAGACACGGCCCAGACUCCUACGGGAGGCAGCAGUGGGGAAUAUUGCACAAUGGGCGAAAGCCUGAUGCAGCGACGCCGCGUGAGGGAUGAAGGCCUUCGGGUUGUAAACCUCUUUCAGCAGGGACGAAGCGCAAGUGACGGUAC